rfam:Brachypodium distachyon strain Bd21 chromosome 4, whole genome shotgun sequence.
CUUCUACUCCCUCCGUCCAAUGAUGGAUGUCUCAACUUAGACUAAAUUUGAAUGCAUCUAUACACUAAGUCACAUCCAGAUACAUCCAAAUUUUGACAAACUUGAAACAUUUUUUAUUGGACAGAGGGAGUAAUGA